rnacentral:rRNA from 1 species
UGCGUAGGCGGUUUUGUAAGUCUGAUGUGAAAUUCCUGGGCUUAACCUGGGGUGGUCAUCAGAAACUGCAAGACUAGAGUAUAGGAGAGGAGAGUGGAAUUUCCGGUGUAGCGGUGAAAUGCGUAGAUAUCGGAAGGAACACCAGUGGCGAAGGCGACUCUCUGGCCUAAUACUGACGCUGAGGCACGAAAGCGUGGGGAGCGAACAGGAUUAGAUACCCUGGUAGUCC